rnacentral:misc_RNA from 1 species
GCAAUGCUUUUGGCAUCAAUCCACGCGAAGCUUUUCCUUAACUAGCCAACCCUUUAGAUCAAAACGAGGAAAUUUUAAGAUUAAAGCUGGCUGGUUGUUUAAAGGAGGUGGACAAGAGUUGGGUGCUCGUAUAGAGCGCAGUGAAAAUGCUAACAAUGAUAUUUUAAUCUUCUUUUUCCAGCUGGACCUGGCAACACGAGUACAAUAUGCAUU